rnacentral:rRNA from 1 species
AGAGUUUGAUUAUGGCUCAGGAUUAACGCUGGCGGCGUGCCUAAUACAUGCAAGUCGGAUGGUUAGCUUGCUAACCAUGGCGAACGGGUGAGUAACACGUAGGUAACCUGUCUAAGACACGAGGAUAACCAUUGGAAACGAUGGAUAAUACUGGAUAGGACAUUUGGAGGCAUCUUUGGAUGUUUAAAGAUUUAUCGGUAAUAGAGGGGCCUGCGGCGCAUUAGCUAGUUGGCGGGGUGAAGGCCCACCAAGGCGAUGAUGCGUAGCCGGACUGAGAGGUUGAACGGCCACAAUGGGACUGAGAACGGCCCAUACUCCUACGGGAGGCAGCAGUAGGGAAUUUUCGGCAAUGGGCGGAAGCCCUGACCGAGCAACGCCGCGUGAACGAAGAAGUAUUUCGGUAUGUAAAGUUCUUUUAUUUGGGACGAAAAAAUUAAAAUUGACUGUACCAAAUGAAUAAGCUCCGGCUAACUACGUGCCAGCCGCCGC